rnacentral:rRNA from 1 species
GUGCCAGCCGCUGCGGUAAUACGUAGGGAGCGAGCGUUGUCCGGAAUCAUUGGGCGUAAAGAGCAUGUAGGUGGAUCAAUAAGUCUGCUGUGAAAGUCGAAGGCUCAACCUUCGAAAGCCGGUGGAUACUGUUGAUCUAGAGUACGAAGAGGCGAGUGGAAUUCCUGGUGUAGCGGUGGAAUGCGCAGAUAUCAGGAGGAACACCAAUAGCGAAGGCAGCUCGCUGGGACGUAACUGACACUGAGAUGCGAAAGCGUGGGGAGCAAACAGGAUUAGAUACCCUGGUAGUCCACGCCGUAAACGAUGGGUACUAGAUGUGGGAGGUGUCGACUCCUUCCGUAUCGUAGCUAACGCACUAAGUACCCCGCCUGGGGAGUACGGCCGC